GAUGAACGCUGGCGGCGUGCUUAACACAUGCAAGUCGAACGGGAAACCUAUUAUUGAAACUUCGGUCGAUUUAAUUUGUUUCUUAGUGGCGGACGGGUGAGUAACGCGUGGGCAACCUGCCUUUAACUGGGGGAUAACACCGGGAAACUGGUGCUAAUACCGCAUAACAUAUCGACGUGGCAUCACGAUGAUAUCAAAGGAGCAAUCCGGUUAUAGAUGGGCCCGCGUCCGAUUAGCUAGUUGGUGGUGUAAUGGACCACCAAGGCGACGAUCGGUAGCCGAACUGAGAGGUUGAUCGGCCACAUUGGGACUGAGACACGGCCCAGACUCCUACGGGAGGCAGCAGUGGGGAAUAUUGCGCAAUGGGGGAAACCCUGACGCAGCAACGCCGCGUGAAGGAUGAAGGUUUUCGGAUCGUAAACUUCUUUGAUUGGGGACGAAAAAAAUGACGGUACCCAAAAAACAAGCCACGGCUAACUACGUGCCAGCAGCCGCCGUAA
rnacentral:rRNA from 1 species